rnacentral:rRNA from 1 species
AUGAAUCAAUCCAAUUUCAGUAUUUUAUCAUGGAACGUUCGCGGUCUCGGUGAUGCUGAUAAAUGCAAAGAUAUUCUCUCUGAACUAAUCACACUCAAACCCUCUGUCGCUCUACGUCAAGAAUCCAAACUCGAGAACGUUUAUGUCACCAAAUUAUACUCGUUCAUGCCUCGAUCCCUAGACCAAAUCAUCUCCCUCCCAGCCAUCGGCAUCCUAUCCGCGGUCAACUCACACGCCCUAACCCUCCUUAGCCACUCACGCGGUCUCUUUACUACAUCUCUAAAUCUAUCUUGUCCCACAUACGGCACCCUCCUAACCGUAUCCAAUGUUUACGCCCCCUCUCAACGCUCGCUUAAAAGUUAUUUCAUUCAAGAGCUAAAAGAUAUCUCGCCUGACAGCUCAACUCAUUGGCUUCUUAUUAGCGAUUUCAACCUCAUCCGGUUUGCCUGCGAAAAAAAUAAUAACAAUUUCCACUCCGCGGAAGCUGACAUGUUCAACUCAGCUAUUUCCGACCUACAACUCAUCAAGCUCCCACUCCUCGACAAAAAUUUCACCUGGUCCAACAACCGUUCAAACCCAACCCUGGAACGCAUCAACAAAGCCUUCUUUAACCUAGCUUGGGAAAAUAGCCUCCCUAACUUCACCCUCUCCUCCCUAACAAGAUUCUCUUCCGACCAC